rnacentral:lncRNA from 1 species
UUAUCAGCAUUUAUUCUUCUUUUCUUAACCUUUUUAUUUUAUUUUUAAUUUCUCUAUUUUCUUGUCAGCCACAUAUUUUUCGUGUGCUUGAAGAACAAAGCAUCUACAGCUGACUUCUUCUGCCAUCUCUCACUGCAGGUAAUAAUUUCUGUAAACUUAUAAGUAUAGUUUUAUUUUCAUAUGCAACAAUCCCUAUUUUUUUUUCUUCUUAAUUAGUCUUGUGCUAUACAACAGAAUAUAGAUAGGCAUCUCAGAUNAAUUUUCCUAACCUUAUAAAAAUACAAGUUUCGAAAUUGAGAUGACCCAAAUCGAAGAUGCCAAAUAUUUCCCAAUCCAUCUAUCAGUUUUGGGCUUGGACCACUACAUCAUGGACCACAACCCAUAUGAAUAACCAAUUUAAUUUAAAAUAAAUUAAAUGAUAAGUAGUCAUAGAUCUCAUUUUCCUCUCUAUAACCCUAAUUUAAUAAAGAGUAAAUUGCGUCGAGUGAAAUUAUGAAUAUAUAUGUACUCCCUCCGUCUCAUGAAUCUUGACACGUAUUCAUUUUUGGACCGUCCCACGAAUCUUGACACAUUUCCAAAUAAUUAGUCAACACUUAACUACAUUCUCUCUCCUACUUUAUCACUUUAUUGUCUUCUCUUUCAUAUUUUAUACUUUAUUACCUACACACUUAAAACACUAAUCUAUAAUUUCUUAAUUCUCGUGCCGAAAAAAUCAUGUAAGUAUAACCCUGAAUUUCAAAUAUGUGUACGCUAAAAUUUUAUUGCAUGAUGUUUUUUUAUAUGAACUAGCCAUUACGAGAAAAAGAAGAAAGGAGAUAAUUUUUCAAUGUCCACGUAAUAAAAUUAUGAUAUCCAUAUAAGAUAUGAUGUGCCAACUAAGCUCUAAUUUCGUCAAAAGUCAAACUUAGAUUAAAAUUACAAUAAAAAUAUAAAUUCAUGUAUUUUUUAGCUUAAUUGAAAGUUCAUGUGAAAAUUGCAACUUUUUUCAAAGUUCAUAUAUUUUUUUUUGUCAUAGUCCCUUAAUUUUAUUAUUUAUUUGUGAAUUAGAGUUUGCCUUAAUUUAUGUUUUUUACUUGGGCAGUGUGUAUAGGCUUUAUAAUGGCCACCAAUAGUUCAUCGGCAUAUCUUACAUCACCACCAAUUUAUGUUUUAUUUGGAUUAAUUUGUGAACUUCUAAGUUUUAAGAAUUAAGUAGUUAUUUGCUCUAUUUGAUUAUGAAUGAGUUUCUAUAAUAUAGUAUAUAAUAAUAAUAUUUAUAAAAAAUAAUAAAAAUCAAAACAUAUUUUUAACGUAUCUGUAUUGUGAUUUUUAGGAUAUUGACGUAUUUUCAUUCUCGUCUCGUAUCGUAUUCGUACCGGUGCUUCUUCCUACUUUGAAAUAUAUAGCAUUGGGGAAAAGAUAUCACAAAAAUACAAAAUUUAUAAUUCGAAAAGAAUGUGUGAUUUCUCUACUAUUGGGAGUUCUUUGAUUAGUUUUAGUUUUUUAGUAUUGUUUGUAAUAGUUCGAAACCACAAUAUUAUUUGAAAGUAUUUUUAUCAUUUCAAUUAUUAUAAAGUAUCUAAAAUUUUAAAUUAUAAAGUCAUUGAAAAUAUUUUAUAUAUUAAAAUUGCGAAUUGUCUAGCUACGCCCCUAGUUCGAAGAAUGACCUCAGAUUAUAUUUUUAGAGAUAUAAAUUUAUUUCCUCGAAAAGACCAUGGAUAAAAUUUAUUUUUGUUAAGCCUUGAUUAAUUUUUAUUAUUGGGCUAAAAAUAUAAUAUGAGCCCAUCACAUGUUGGUAGUAUUAUCUAUUUUAUCCGCUAUUUAUUUCUUUUUUCGUACUUUUUUUUUUUUUUUAAAUUUCUCUAUUUUCUAGUCAGCCACAUAUUUUUCGUGUGCUUGAAGAACAAGCUUCUACGACUGACUUCUUCUGCCAUUUCUCACUGCAUAUAUAUAAAGUUACAACAUUUGAUGUUUCAAAGAACUGAUUCAUACAUUUUCUUCAAACAAAGUUGAUAAUUUCUCAAUCGUGUUAGAUUGAAUGUUAAAUAGCCUUUUGAAGUUUUGAUAUGUGAUAAUGUCUAUAGUUAAAGAUACAACAGAUCCUGCACCUACGAGGGAUACAAACAGAGAAAGUUCGAUUAAGCUCGAUUAGGUGGGAACCGUCUUCGGCUUGGCUCCGAUUUUUCUCCACGAGACGCUCCACAUUAUUUGCUUUGUAAGCAAAAACUAUCAAUAAAACUAACAAAUAUUUUUGUAAUUUUUUCUUGCGCGUGUGGGCCCGAGAUUAAUUUAAUCGCCAAUUUAUAAUAUUUUACUUAUUUUCCUAACCUUAUAAAAAUAAAAGUCUCGAUUUAAACGAUAGGAAAUUGAGAUGACCCAAAUAGAAGAUGCCAAAUAUUUCCCAAUCCAUCUAUCAGUUUUGGUCUUGGACCACUACGUUGUGGACCACACAACCCAUAUGUGUAACCCAUUUAAUUAAAAAAUUAAAUUUUACUCACUAUAACCUUUUAUUAAAAAAAAAAAAAAAGUUAAUUGCUUGUGAAUAUAACUCCAAGUUAAUUUUGUUCAAAUAUAUUUAAUUAAUCCUGCGUAAACGCUGAAAUUUGAUUGUGUGACAUCUUUUAUAUGAACUAACUAUAACAAAAAAGAAAAUGAGAUAAUGCUAAUAAAAUUCCAACCUCCACAUGAUAAAAUAUUGUAAAAUUUUUAAUUCAGAUAGAGUUUUAAUUAUGUAUCAUUUUAAUUUCAUUUUNCUUUUAUUUUCUAUCUCUAAAAAUUAUUUUCCCUUUAAUUAAAAAUUAUCUCUCUAGCUUAUAAGCUCAGUUAGUCAAACACUUUAACAACUUAUAAGUUCUUAUGAAACUAUAUCUUAUAAGCUUUUUAAAAUAAACUUAGCCAAACACCCUCUUUCAUCUCUAUAAAUUUUCCCCCUCUAACUCACUAUUUACUUUCUAAAUUAUGCUCAAUUAUCCACACUUUAACAACUUACAAAACCUUAAAAACAUUUUUCGAGCACUUAGAGCUUAUAAGCAUUUUAAAAUAAGCUUAGCCAAACACGACUCAAAAGGAACUUAACCACGGUUUAACACAACUUCAACUUUGUUUGGAACAUUAAUCCAACAUAUCCCCACACAUAAAAAGAACUUAACCACAAAUGAAAAUUGAAAGACUAAGCUUCAAACUAGUAGAGCUUUACCAAACAUGUAUCAGAAGCCCAAGUAAAGAAUAAAAAUCUUUAUGUGCUCAAAUAAUAAUAAUAAUAACCUCAAUAGUAAUAAUCAUGGUAAAAGAGAAAAAUGAACUCAACCCUUCAUAAUACUCCAAAAUCAGUUGUAACACUGCAUUAACGAAAGAUGUAAACUACUAAUAAAGGUUCAAAUUAGGGCCGACAUCUCCUAGUAUGCAAAUGUAGAACAAAAUGGACAUUCAAACUAACUCGUCUUAAUCAAACAAGCCGAAGCCCAUGUCGUCGUCACUUUCCUCCUUUUCCUCCUCCUGAAAGGAUUAAGAUUAACAAUCACAUGUUUGAUUAGCUUCAUGAGAUCUAAAUUAGCACAAUUAGCAUAUCCAAAUUAGAAUCUCCUUCAAAUAUGCACAGCUUAUUUGAGAACUAAGUCAUGAUUGGAAUUCAUAUCAAAUGCAUUCUCAACUUCUUCAAUCCACACACGAUCUCAUCGAAGCCAGCAUAUCUUGUAUAACUAUUAGCAUAUCCAAAUUAUAAUCUACUUCUAAUCUGCACAGCUUAUUUGAGAACUAAGUCAUGAUUGAAAUUCAUAUCAAAUGCAUUCUAAAGUUCUUCAAUCCACACACGAUCUCAUCGAAUCCAGCAUAUCUUGCAUAACUAUUAGCAUAUCCAAAUUAUAAUCUACUUCAUCAAAUGCCCAAGUUCUUCAAUCCACAAACAAUCUAAUAGAAUCCAGCUCAUCUUGUAUAUUAGAAUUUCAUAGUAACAAUGCCCAAAUCUAUUCUUGCUUGGUAUGACCAAAAGCUAAAGUGCAUAUCUUUAUAUGAACACUGUGGUGGUUAUCUAAAAGAGAACAGAAAAAUAAACAGCUAAUUUUUUACUAUUUUCUCUUAAAUAAUUUCAUAAAAAAUCAAAUGAACAUCCCAACCAUUUCUAAAGUAUUUAGCUAAGAAACCGUAGUUAUAUUUUUCUGCUCCAAAAAAUGUUCGAUUUUCUUAAUCUAAAAUUCUAAAAAAUUGUUUAUUUCCAUAACAUUAGGUAUUCUCAAUAUACAUAUAUAGAUAAGCUGUAACAUAUAAUGUAAAAUAAAUGAAGUUGAAAUUGACGGUAUUAUAUGAAAAAGUUGAUGACUUUCACGACUAUGCCUUAAGUCAGCUUCCCAAUUAGUGUUUUACAAUCUGAGAAAACUUAAAAUAAACUAUAGAAGUACUUGUUCGUAAAAUAGAUCAAAUUAUACCUUUUUCUUCUCCUCUGCAGCAGGGGCAGCUGCGGCAGCGGCACCACCGGCAGCGCCGGCUGGAGCAGCGACUGCGACGGCGCCACCGCCACCACCAGCGCCGACGUUCAC